rnacentral:rRNA from 1 species
GAUGAACGCUGGCGGCGUGCCUAAUACAUGCAAGUCGAGCGAACAGAUAAGGAGCUUGCUCCUUUGACGUUAGCGGCGGACGGGUGAGUAACACGUGGAUAACCUACCUAUAAGACUGGGAUAACUUCGGGAAACCGGAGCUAAUACCGGAUAACAUAUUGAACCGCAUGGUUCAAUAGUGAAAGGCGGCUUUGCUGUCACUUAUAGAUGGAUCCGCGCCGUAUUAGCUAGUUGGUAAGGUAACGGCUUACCAAGGCAACGAUACAUAGCCGACCUGAGAGGGUGAUCGGCCACACAGGAACUGAGACACGGUCAAGACUCCUACGGGAGGCAGCAGUAGGGAAUCUUCCGCAAUGGGCGAAAGCCUGACGGAGCAACGACGCGUGAGUGAUGAAGGUCUUCGGAUCGUAAAACUCUGUUAUCAGGGAAGAACAAAUGUGUAAGUAACUGUGCACAUCUUGACGGUACCUGAUCAGAAAGCCACGGCUAACUACGUG